rnacentral:rRNA from 1 species
UACGUAGGGUGCGAGCGUUGUCCGGAAUUAUUGGGCGUAAAGAGCUCGUAGGCGGUUUGUCGCGUCUGCUGUGAAAACCCGAGGCUCAACCUCGGGCCUGCAGUGGGUACGGGCAGACUAGAGUGCGGUAGGGGAGAUUGGAAUUCCCGGUGUAGCGGUGGAAUGCGCAGAUAUCAGGAGGAACACCAAUGGCGAAGGCAGAUCUCUGGGCCGUAACUGACGCUGAGGAGCGAAAGCAUGGGGAGCGAACAGG